rnacentral:misc_RNA from 1 species
ACAGAGUUAUCUUUUCUUGGGCGAUGAGAUUGAAUGUCUGCAGCAGAUAGCGGUUUUAAUGGGAUACAAACGCUUUUUACCGAGUUUAUGAGGAAUAUUUCAAUAUGAACGUGUUUUUGACAAUAUUUGCAACAUUGUGUAGUGUAGAGCGGAUACGAUGCCCCUGUGCAAAGAUUAUAAUCCAAAUGACACAGACAGGAUUUGCAGCUGCCAUUUUCACGAUGGCAAGAAAUAGAAUGGACCAACUAUAUUCAGCUAUAGUAAAAACUUUGGAUGUUUUCCAGACGUAGCCAUACCAAAAAGACGCAAAAUUAUGAAACCUGCUCCAGUGGAAGUAUCUGCUUUAAACAUAGAUGUGGGAGCUGAGGCUGAAGUUGAGGCCGAUUCCAAUAUUCCUGUACCAGACAGCAUAACUGUACUUCAUGAUCACGAGUAUGCAACGUCAAGUCCUCAACAUAAUAAAUGUACCAACAUGAUGUAAAAUGUGUUAUCACAACCAGAUACAAAUCAUCCCUUAAACACAUGGAAGAGGAAUUAGUAAAGUUGCAGCAAGAAAUUAAAAUGCUCAAGCUAAACAAAUCCGUACAUGACAAUUAAGGACAUAAUUAAUGACCCUGAAAAGAUACUUUUCGCAUUUUGGAGAACUUCGUGGAGAGAAUGGGCCCGUUCAAUUAUUAUGGUGGUUGGAUUGUGGUGAACUUCAGUGUCAGUUUUUGUUUAUAAUUUGAAUCAAUUUUUUAAUAAAAACAGUAGUUCAU